CUUUCUGGUACGAUGAGGUGUCUUGCAUUUAUUUUGGUAGUCUUCCCGAUUCAGAUAUCGGCUUCCGAUUUGUCUUGGUUGAAUGAUUAUAAAAAUGAAUCUCAAAGACAAUAUGUGGCUGAAAAAGUGUGGCCGUUGAACAACAAGGAAACAAAAUUACAUGAUGAUUCUUUCAUAGCCAAAAAAAGAUUCAAGCGACAAGUUCCAGCUACUACUGAUUCAAAUACAACAGAUCUAACGACCACUGCAGAAUCAACUACUACGGGACCAACAACAACUGCAGAACCGACAACAACUGAGCCAACCACCGCCGAAGGAUCAACUACUGCGGGACAAACAACAACUGCAGAAUCGACAACA